rnacentral:rRNA from 1 species
CACGUAGGGCGCAAGCGUUUGUCCGGAAUUAUUGGGCGUAAAGAGCUCGUAGGCGGUCUGUUACGUCUGCUGUGAAAACCCUGGGCUUAACCCUGGGCUUGCAGCGGAUACGGGCAGACUAGAGGCAGGUAGGGGAGAAUGGAAUUCCCGGUGUAGCGGUGAAAUGCGCAGAUAUCAGGAGGAACACCGGUGGCGAAGGCGGGUCUCUGGGCAGUAACUGACGCUGAGGAGCGAAAGCGUGGGGAGCGAACAGG